GGGGGUGAGGGCAAUCUGGCUGUGACAUCUGUCACUCCAUUGAUCACCAGAGUUGAUUCAGCUGAUCUGGCUGGCUAGGUAGGUGUCCCCUUCCUCCCUCAUCACUUCAUGUGCUUCUCUUCAAAAGGUAUACACUUGGUCAAAGAUGACAACCUUCCCCGACAGAGGCAUACUGUUCUUCAGUCAAGGGUAUAUGAGUAGCUGCACUCCCCUGCUAGAACAAGCUCGCAAGGUACAAAUCCUCAUCUCCCCUUUUAACAAUGGGGAAAAUGUAUUCCUUAAGUU
rnacentral:snRNA from 1 species